rfam:Ornithorhynchus anatinus chromosome X5, whole genome shotgun sequence.
CCCCUCUCAGGAUGGCACCUGGAGAGUUUCCAGUACUCUACCAGUCUCAGCUACAGGAGAGAGACAAGCAGAGGCAUUCUCAUUCCAUUCCUAGCUCGAGCAGUGUUUAGUGAGUGGAAGGCAAUCUGCUACAAGU